UACGAAGGGGGCUAGCGUUGUUCGGAAUUACUGGGCGUAAAGCGCACGUAGGCGGAUUGUUAAGUUAGGGGUGAAAUCCCGGGGCUCAACCUCGGAACUGCCUUUGAUACUGGCAAUCUUGAGUCCGGAAGAGGUGAGUGGAAUUCCUAGUGUAGAGGUGAAAUUCGUAGAUAUUAGGAAGAACACCAGUGGCGAAGGCGGCUCACUGGUCCGGCACUGACGCUGAGGUGCGAAAGCGUGGGGAGCAAACAGG
rnacentral:rRNA from 1 species